rnacentral:tRNA from 1 species
GGGCGUAGUCUAUUUUAUAGGUUUACUUUGCAGAGGUAAAUUAGAGGUUGUAUUCCUCCGCGUCUU